CAGCCUCUUGCAUAGGAAGAAGUGGUAAGCUAAGGAGAGAAAUGCAGGGUUCCUAGUACACCAAUUUUCCAACUUUUUCAUCUUGGCCCUGCUUUAAAAUGAUGCAUCUACUGUCUUCAUGCCUCAGCACAGCAGAGAAAACCAUGCUGUGUUCCAGUUUACUUUGAAUGUUUCAGUGAAAAUGAUGAAGCUGAAAAAAUGACGGAGGCCCGUUUUACAUGGUCACCUGAAUGUGGAAAAGUUGAGUUGGAGCAAAACUGGCACGGCCAUACUGGAUGGACCUCAGCAUGACCAGGACACAUUUCAGCUCAAAUCCCCUGUGCCAAGAACACAUUCUGCCAAGGACCACCACCUCUUCCCACAACUGUGAGUGGAUUUAUGUCAUCACAGGAGGUGCAAAAACGUGUGGUGAGGUAAAUGAAUUGGGAUGUCCUUGGCUGCCUGAGCAAGAGGGCAACUUUCCUGCCUUUAGAAUAGAGAAAACACAGCAGGAUAAUUAAGAGGAUGAGACUUUGGUUCCAACAGACAGUGGCUUCUCCUUCCCUAAAUUGCCCUUAUUUUGUAGUAAGUUAUAAUAUGUUUAUUUUCUACCACCUUAUUACUUCACUACGUGAACCAAAAAUAAAAUCCUAAAGCCAAC
rnacentral:lncRNA from 10 species